GUUAAAAGAUUCUAUUUCAAUAAACUAAGAGAGGAUAGAAGUAAAACAAAAAACGAUAGAGAAAUGUUACCUGUACAGGCAUUUCGUGCUUUUUCAUGGCAUUAAUCAGAAUAGAAAAGAGCGAUAAAUCAACUCCAUUUGGUAGAAUUGUUGCCUCGGCAAGAAGUAUAGAAGCGGACAUACAGCCUAAGAGGAUUGCCAAAACUUUCUGAAGUUGCUUUGCCAAUACACAACGCCAAAUCAACUCUG
rnacentral:misc_RNA from 1 species